UACGAAGGGGGCUAGCGUUGCUCGGAAUCACUGGGCGUAAAGGGUGCGUAGGCGGGUCUUUUAAGUCAGGGGUGAAAUCCUGGAGCUCAACUCCAGAACUGCCUUUGAUACUGAGGAUCUUGAGUUCGGGAGAGGUGAGUGGAACUGCGAGUGUAGAGGUGAAAUUCGUAGAUAUUCGCAAGAACACCAGUGGCGAAGGCGGCUCACUGGCCCGAUACUGACGCUGAGGCACGAAAGCGUGGGGAGCAA
rnacentral:rRNA from 1 species